CGGGAUGGAGCAGCCUGGUAGCUCGUCGGGCUCAUAACCCGAAGGUCGUCGGUUCAAAUCCGGCUCCCG
rnacentral:tRNA from 3 species